rnacentral:lncRNA from 1 species
UCAUCGUUGAGCCUUGUUGGCUGGUCACCUGCGUCGUUUUGAGGGUUCGGAAAUGACGGGUGAGCGACGGUGGAGUUCCGGUGCGGUUUUCGGGACUUCCGGCUUGUUCGGUAAUCGGUUUUGGGAAACCGGUUUUGGUGGUUCUGGUGAGUGGGGAUUGUGUGUUAGCGAGUCAUGUUAGUGGGUUAGAUUCUAACCCGUUGGACCUUUCGUAGGUUCGAUUGUUCCGUCUUCACAGUCGAGAGACCUUCGUCAGAUAUGUACAGGUGGGUACUUCGAUCCGAAGUCGGUACAGUGGUGCACGCUCGGUGAUAUCCUUCUAUCCCUGUUCUUCUGUUAUUACUAUUGCGUAGUAUAGUAUAUUGAACCUGCACCCCUAUUGUUUACAUCUUACUCUACUCGUUGUUUGCAUAAUUAGUAUCCUGAGUAGGAGUAGAGUAGUUAUACAAUGUUUUCUUGUUGCUCUACUUAGCUAUUCUGUAUAUUGUGUAUCAUGUUUAGAGUAGAGCGGUUUCAUGAUUUCUUGUGAGAUCGGUGACCUAGUCGGUCGGUUCCUUGACUUCUGUCGUUCGAUGACCUAUGAGGUCGGUGUACCCUGAGGGGUAGGAUUGUCGGCUUGUGGCUGACGGUAGUUCCAGAUUAUAUUGAUACACUCUUGAGACCUAUUGGUCAGUUCUUGCAUUUAUAGUUUAGUUGACCCAUUGAGCAGUAUUUGCAUAUCUUUGAGAGGAUGUUGAGUUGUUCCAUCCUAGCUGACCUGAGUGGACGGUUCUUGUACUUCCUUACAGUUCGAUGACCUUUUGGUCGGUUAGCCCCGAGGGGCGGUGAUUGUUGGCUGGUUGCCGACGGUUGGCUAUUGAUCAUAUCCGCAUUGAUCGCCACAGCUCGAGUGCAUUUCACGUACACCAGCGGGUUGAUCCCCCGCAGGAGGGUGUUCUUUUCCGGAAAAGUGGUCGUACAUCCGACCCGUGAGUCCAGCGGUGUUCUCUUUGUGCUAGGGUUACAUGCCAGGUGUGAGCAGGUAGUGGCUUUUGCCUGAGGCCCUUAGACCGACACGGCGGUUUAGAUUGGGUACUUUUGGACUUCUCGUCCGGUUGACGCAUAUAGCUAUAAUAACGGUUGUUGCAUAUAAACUUACAGUUCUUUCUUUACAGUUGUCUUGCUACUAUAGUUUUGAUAUCCUUGUAUGCUUGCAGUUGUAUAUAUCACCAGAAAUAAUAGGGUAAUAACUAAAUAGUACAAACCGGAUCGGAGGCUCUAAUGACAGCUAUCCACGUGUCUCACGUCUCGUCUCAACCUCACCGCCCGCAAUACCUGAAAAAUAGUAGGGGAGGUGAGAACAUGUAAACAUGUCUCCCCUUCCAGUGGGUACCGCAAGUCGAUGAAGGAGAGGAGUACUCACCGGAUCAAGAAGAGAUAAACAACAGUAUGGGUAAGUGAAAUACAGUAGCAACAAUAAUGAACGAAUGAGAUAUAUAUAUAUAUAUAUAUAUGAAAGCACAACUACCGCUACUUAGUCGGUCUAUAUGGUUCAGUAUUUCAUUAUGUUAAAAUAUUCAAGGAUUUCUGGAUUUUCGUAAAUAAAAGGUUGUCUACCCCAAGUGGUAGUGUUUUUAAAAGAUAAAAGUUUCCGUGUAGGGAACAAUUUUCAAAAGAUUUUCUGUGGAAUUAUGUUUAAACAUUGAAUGUAAAUCUGUGAUGUGAAUGGUGAAUGUAUGAAUGUAUAGUUAUCUUUAUAUUCAUUUAGUUGUGGUUGUAUCCUGCUUGUACUUUUGUACUUAUGCGACGCCGUGCAAAUACAGGGGAGAGUCUGUCCGUGUGAACAGUGGAUUUCCUAUAUUUGUGGCGGAUCUGGCAUUCCCUGGGGUUAGGUUUUCAAAAAAAAAAAAAAAUUUAGACGCUUUCGCAAUGCUUUGAAAUCAAAAGGAACUCCGGGGCGUGACAGUUAAACAUGAACCUAGUGAUGGAAAUAUGGAUUGGUCUCCUAUUGUACAAGUAGAAAACAAGGACAUUGUGUAUCAAGAUUGUACAAGUGGUGGCAUGUUCUAGGUAUUUUGUCCUAGUUGCAUAUACCGUGAGACAUCACAUGUCUAGCCAUGUACGUACAGUGUGAUGUGGGUUUGUUGUCAUAGUUGCACAGGACUUGAGAUGAGCAUGUUAGGAAUUGGCAAAUCCCAGAAUGUUGUCGCAAUGGUUGGUGGCGAGUUCUCUAAAUAAGAGGACUGGAUCAUACUCAUAUAGUCUGUUGUGGCUUAUGAAGGUUGCGACUCCACAAGCAAUGACCUUCAGAGUGUCACAAGAAUAAGGGAAUAGGGUCACGACGAUGCCUAUCCCGUAGACUGCCCAAGGUAUGGGUGAUUGAGUUGUGUACCUCUCCUCCACAGGUUUAGAGAUGUGAAUUGGGCUUGAUCUCAGGAUGAGUCGGUAUGAUUGGCUCAUGAGGUAAAAGAAAAAGACAUCAUCAGCAUAGUCGGUCACGUCUUCAUCUAUCUUGUAGAAAGAGAGCAUAAUAGUGUCACAUGUUUGGUGGCAGGUCAAUCAUGCUACCUCAACGAGCAACCCAAGAUGGGUGAUUGAGCGGCAGAGCUCAUCCCUACGUGGCUGAGACGGGUGAGUUAGGCUUGGCCUUAUGGCAAGCCCUGAUUGGGUCAUGAGUAAAUAGAGAGCUAUGUUGAGCAUAUGGACCUUGGAACCUAUUUCAGAAAAAAGGAAAGUUCAUGUUCGAUGUUUCAGGAAGUGAGAAUGUGAGAUGUCCAAAUUUGAUUUUUCUCCUUAAAAGAUAUUGACGUUCAUAAUUUGAUUGAAUAGCAUAUUUUACAUGUGAGGUGAUUAAUUUUAUUUCAAAAAAAUAACUUAAGAGCCGAAUAUAGUAUUUAUUCUAAACAUUUUGAUCACAUUCAUUAUUUAUCAAAUGCUGCAUGCUGCUUGAAUAAAUUUAAUGGAUAUACGGAAUAAGAUGUUUAUGUGUUCAAACAGUGACUAAGUGUAAAUAACAAUACGGAAAGAACAUUCAAAAGGGGCCACUCUGAUCUUGCGAGAUCAAAUCACAUUUACGAAGAGCGAGAACGACGACAUUAUGGCAACCAAAAUUAAAAUUCCAUUAAGUUACUAGUGGUACUAUGUGUUCCCUCUCCUUUCCCCUUCUUAUACAAAAGGACUCAUGGUAGUGUGGAAAUGAAGUAUUGAGGAAGGGAUUGAGUUUUGUUACUAGUGGGGGUUUCUCUACUUAAGAUUAAUGGUGAGAGUAAAGAAAAGGAAAAAUGAUGAAAUGGAGCCACCUACACACACACACACACACACACACACACACAUAUAUAUAUAGAAUUGAGCUCCUAUGCUUUUAAAAGUACCAAGUCAUUUGUGCUUGUAAGUUUUCGGCCCUUGGAUUAAAGGAUGUGCGGUUAGGAUGAUGUAGGCCUCCUAGGGUUGAGUGGGUGGUUGGUUGAAUAGUAUAAUCUAACGGGUAAAAAUGAUCAAAGGCAGAGAUCUAACGGUAAAAAAUUUACAAGCACCAAGUGCUUGGUACUUUUACAAGCAUCAUAGCCGGACUCUCUCUCUCUCUCUCUCUCUCUCUCUCUCUCUCUAUAUAUAUAUAUAUAUAUAUAUAUAUAUAUAUAAGUCUAUGUAUAAAUAACUCAGCUUUACGUAUAAGAACCCAUAUAUAUUUUUGCAGCUGCACAUAACCAGAGAUCUAGUAACAAAUGAAACAAAUAAAAUGAGCAUACGAGUAACAACCUAGUGCUGUUGUCGCGUAUGGCCGUGAUAGACCCAGGUUGGAUUACUUGGAAUGUUCUAUAAUCCAAACACACUAACAAACUAGCUUCUCCUUGAAUCAUUGUCAUAUAGCAUAAUUUGUUUUCUACUAAAAAAUCUUGGUUGAAAUUGAAAUAUAAAAUAUUAGAAAUAAAAAAAAACGUACAGAAUUUAUAUGAAGUAUGAACCAUUCACUACAACAGAAUUAGGUUAUAGGGACACUUGUUUGGGACACUUUUGAGUAAGUGUCUCAUUUAUGCUAAAACUUAAAAAAACAUCUACUUAUGCCUAAAUAUAAAGCCCAAUCCAACCAAAAAUAAAAGAUUACUCUACUCAACCCACCACACCCAGUCCAUUUGGCCUUAUUACAAACAGAAAAGAAAAAAAAAAGAAUAAUCAAUUACCAUCUUUUCUUCUCUCUUCACUCAAUCCACUGAAAUUCUAGACGAAGAGCCUUUCCUGUCGUCCUCCUCAGCCACCGCAGCCAACGAGAUAGAGUUUCAGCGGUUGCUAAAUACUUAAAUAAGUGUUGGUAAAUUAGCAGCACUCUUUUAGGCUAUAGCAACACUUUUUAACUAUCACUAUAUACCUAGCGACCCCACAUAUAGCAACACUUUUUAAAAGUGUCGGUAAUUUUAGCUAGCAGCAUUUUUUUGACAUGUACCUAUAUUUAAAAGUGUCGCUAUAAACCGCUUUUGUUGUAGUGAUUUUAAAUUGGCUACCAAUUUUUAAUUUGUGUGAUUCGAGUCAGUCAACGUACUUUGAAUUUGAAAUUUAAGCUAUCUACCACCUUUAAUGAAUUUUUCGAAGAGAGAAAGUGAAGCGAGAGUGAGGACAAAAUAAAAAGAGAAAAGGUGACAGAGAGAAACUAAAAGAGAGAAGAAAAAGAGAUAAGGAAGAGUAAGUAAAGAAAAAUUAAGAGGUAGAAAGAGAGGAAAGAGUGGGGAGAAUGAUGUAAGAAAGAUUCACAUUUUAUCAUAAUGUCUGUAUUAUCUCUUUCACAUCUCUUCACACACUGAUUAAAAAAGUGUCUUAGGCGUGCGCCUAGGUGCUAGGCUCAAUGGCUAGCACCUAGGCAGCCCCUAGUGGGCACUGUUAGCCCCUAGUGGGCACUGUUGCCUAGGCACAUGCCUAGGCUACCUAGGCGCGUGCCUAAAGCAAGGCGCAAGGCGCAAUAAAGGCUCGCCUCAUUCAUAUUUGAUCCAAACGGGUUUGGAUCUAGAAAUAUAUGCUCUAAUAGGUUUGGAUCCAUAUAUUUAUUCGUCUAAUGGGUUUGAAACAUCUAAAAUAAACCCAAAAUCCAAACUAACAUAAUCUAAACCUUAAAUAUCUCUCUACUCCCUCUCCCUCUCUCCCACUCGUCCUUCACCCCCAGCUCUUCUCAUUGCCUCUGGCUCCCCCUCUCUGCUUCUUCAAUUUGGCUCGCCUCUCCCUCCAAGGUGUUCAUCUCUCUUUCCCCUUAUCUCUCUCUAUUUUCUCUUUUGUGUAUAUAUAUUUUUUAAGCAGUGUUUUGUUGUUGUUUUUUUUUUUUGAAGCAGUGGUUUUCGUUGUUUUAUUUUAAAAAAUAGUAUUUUACUUUGAUAAAACGAACCUUUUAAAAGUAAAAAAAGUUCUUGAGAGUUGAAAAUAAAAAAUAAUCUUAUAUAUUUGCCAAAUUACAGUUUAAUUUCUUGAAUGGAUUCGAAAGCAACUAAAAGAGAUUCUGCAUAAAAGUAUUUGCAUUUAGCAUAUAAGAAAGUAAAAAGAAUUAUCUUACAUGUAAUUUUUGUGGAAAAGUAACAAGAGGAGGGAUAUAUCGAGCAAAGCAGCAUAUUAUUGGAGGUUUUCGAAAUGCAAAAGCAUGCACAAAAUGUCUGCCGCAUGUGAGGGAGGAAAUAAAACAUUUUAUGAUGAAGAAAGUAAUGGAGAAGGAAUAAAAUGAGUUCAUGCUCGACUUUGAAGAUGCAGAUCACUUCGAUGACAAUGAAGAGGGAGAUAGAUGUUGUGAAAUUGAACUUCGAAGGAAAAAGAGUUCAAAGUAAAAGUAGCAGAUGUAGUUUUGUUAGUAGUAGAGGUGCACCCAAAAAACGAAGGCACAGGAGACCAAUGGAUUUGUAUUUCCCUUCCAAUGCAGGAAAAGUAGUUCAAGACAGAAAAGAUGGAAAAAGAAAAGAAACUACGAUUAAAAAAAGUUUGUAGGAAAGAGUUGAGAGAAAAAGGGUAUAGAGAACUAGCUAGAUGGUUUUAUGAUGCAGGAGUACCUUUCAAUGCUACUAGUUUUGAUAGCUUUCAUAUGGCGCUUGAAUCUGUUGGACAAUACGGCCCUAUUUUUAAACCACCUUCUAUGUAUGAGUUACGAAUUCCUUUUCUUCAAAAGGAAAAGGAGAUUCAACAAACGAAGAAUUCAGGAUGGACACAUGGAGGAAUGGCAAAGACUAGAUGUAAUACAAUGUGCGAUGUAUGGACGGACAAGAGACAAAGGACCCUUAUAAACUUUCUUGUAAAUUCUCCAAUAUGGACUAUGUUUAUCGAAUCUAUUGAUGCCUCCAAUUGCUCUAAAAUUGGAGAAGAAAUGUUUAAGUUAUUGGAUAAUAUGGUGAAGCGCAUUGGGGAGGCAAAUGUCAUUUAGAUUGUGACCGAUAGUGCAUCAAUCAAACAAUGUGUAGGCCGGUAAGAAAUUUUGUAUAAAGUAUAUUAAUUUUUUUUCAGUAUAUACUUUACUUUUAUAUUAUUAUAUAAAAUAUUUGCUUAACUUGAAAUAUAUAUGAAAUUUUAAUAUGGAAAUUACUAGAAGCAAAAUGACCAAAUUUAUAUUGGUCACCUUGUGCAGCCCAUUGCAUUGAUUUGAUGCUUGAGGAUAUUGGAAAGAUGCCCGAGGUGCAUAGAACAGUGAAGAGGGCAACAACAUUGAGUGGUUAUAUUUAUUCCCACACAAACGUGGUCAAUGUGAUGAGGCAUUUCACAACUCAAAGAGAGUUGCUUAGGCCUGCUGUAACAAGAUUUGCAACGGCCUUUCUUACCCUUCAACAGUUACAUAAGCAAAAGAGCAACUUUAGAGAGAUGUUCACAUUGGAUGAUUGGACCAAAAAUAAAUGGGCAAAGGAACAAGCGAGCAAAAAAUGCAACUAGCAUUGUAUUGAUGCCCACAUUUUGGACUAGCAUUGUUUAUAUUCUUAAAAUUUUUUGUCCUCUUGUUCGUGUACUUCGACUUGCUGACAAUGAAAAAAAGGCCAGCAAUGGAUUAUAUUUACGAGGCUAUGGACAGAGAAAAAAAAGCAAUUGCAAAGUCUUUUAAGGGAAGGGAGGAGAAAUAUAGUGAAGUAUUCAAGAUUAUUGAUAAUAGAUGGCAAUGCCAGCUUUAUCGCCCUUUACAUGCCGCUGGUCAUUUCUUAAACCCUAAAUUUUUUUAUUCAAAUUCAAAAAUUUAUAAGAUGAGGAGAUUAUGUCGGGUUUAUAUCAAGCUUUACAAAGAUUGGUCGCAACUGCUAAAGAACAAGAUAAAGUAUGCAAUCGAAUAAGUGUAUAUCGUGAAGCACAUGGCAUUUCUGGAACUAAUAUAGCAAUUCAACGAAGAAAAACAAACUCACCAGGGUAAUUCUAUACUACUCGCUAAUUGUAUAGUACUAUUAUAAAUCUAUGUAGUAUGCAUUUUAAUAGUUUUUACUUGUUUGUAGACUUGUAGUAAGAUUAGAUAAGAAAAAAAUGCAGUCAUUUACAUACAUUAUUAAUUUAUUAUUAAUAUAACAUUUAUAUGAACAGCUGAGUGGUGGAAAUUAUUUGGGUCAUCAACACCGAACUUGCUGAAAUUUGCGAUUAGGGUUCUUAGCCUCACUUGUAGUGCUUCCAGUUGUGAGCGAAAUUGGAGUGUAUUUGAACAUAUAAGUUAUCUAUAUUAAAUCAUCUUAUACUAUAGUUAUAGUAUUUCAGUAUUUGAUAGUUUGGGUUCUUAAUUUAAUACUUAAAAUUUCAUAUUAUCUUUGUUAACAUAAAGUUGUUCAUUUUUUUUGUAGCUUCAUAUAAGAAAAGAAAUAGGCUCACGCAAAAACGCUUAAAUGAUUUGGUGUAUGUAAGGUACAAUAGAACAUUGAGGCGGCGAUAUAAAUUGCGUGAUACCGUCGAUCCUAUCUCAAUGAGUGAAAUUGAUGAUAGUAAUGAAUUGUUGAUUGGAAGAAUGGAUGAAGACAACAAUAAUGAGAGGAAAGAUGAGGAUUAUGUUUGGGAAGAUGACAGAUUGACAUGGAGUAUAGUGGCUAAAGCAGCAGGAUCCAUCCUACUAGAUCACGUAGUUGUACCAAGUGCAGUGCUAAAGGAAAGGCAAAAGCUUUAUCUUCUCAAACUUGGAAUAUUAAUAACUUUAUAAAUGAUGAAGAGCCUGAUUUUAAUGAGACUCUCGACACAGGAGAUGAAAAAAAAGAAGACACUGGAGAUGACAAAUCUGAAGAGGGAGAGGAGUAUUAUUUAUCAAGUGAUGAAGAUGAUAAUUGAUGAUUGAAGAAUGAGGACUAACUAAUAUUCCUAAUACGACGUAUUUUGGCUUGGAGCCUUGAUUUACACUUAGCUUUCAUAUGAGCAUAAUACCCUUUUAAUGAUUUUUGCCUUAAAACUUUAAACUUUUAUGCAUAUUAUUUUUUUAUAAUCUUGUACUCAUAAUUAUAUGUUUUGGAAGUCAAAGUUUCCUAUAUGUUUGUGAAUUACUAGUUAUUUUUAUGCUUACCUUUAUUUGGAGACAAAAAGGUACUUUGUUCUCCUUUUAUCUGCGUUAUUUUAUUUUAUUUAAAUUAUCAUAUAUGUUGCUUUGCUUCUUUUUUUUUCCUUCAUUUGUCUCCUUCCGAAAAUAUAAUUAUUUGGAUAGUUAUAGACUAUUUAUUGUGAUAAUAUGGUUUUAAAGAGUAUAUUUAAUGCUACUUAACAAUUCUAUGAAAAUGUGUGCUUUACCUCUCUUGGACGCGCGCUUGUGCUUUGCGCCUAAGCUCCAACAACCCUUUGCGCCUAGGUGUGUCUAGGAUUUUUUUAAUCACUGCUUCACCUCCUUUUAACCUAGUCGAUUCUAAAUUAACAAAUUUAUAUUUUUGGAAGUUAAAGAGAGAUGAAACUUUUAUCUUCCGUAAUGGCUUUUUCUGUUCAACUAUUUUAGAUUAUGGAAAGAUUUAUUGAUUCCGAUAGUUAUUGUUUGUUUUUGUAAAGACUGAGAUUUUUACAGUGCAACUAAACUCUCUGUUGAUGAUGUUUAUGUGUGUAAUUUAAUUACAUAAGCACUCGUCAAGUUUCAGGAGAAAAUGAGCUAAAAUGGAGAAGUUACGCGAUUAUUAGUUUUCACUUAAGUGAAUAGUAACUCCAGUUUUUCGGUGAAGCCACGGAGUAGAGUUGGUUUUCGGCGCUUAUUGGACUCCGUUCAUAGCGAUCCAAUAGCUUGUUUCGAUCGGGUCAGCUAUUCUGGAACCAAUGGCACUGACGAAUUUCAGAUCUGAUGCACGGUUUUCGAGAAAAAAGGAGUUUUAUCAAAAAGAGGGUUUUCGUUCUUUAUUAUUCUUGCAUUAUGACACCCCUCGUGAUCUAUGUUUGUGACCUAGAGUAAGGUGAGGGAUGUUACAUGUAUCUACUAGUGGUAGGAGAUUCAAAUUUGAAUUUGAAUUAAAGGAUUUAGCAGGAUUACACAUUGAUAAUAUGUGUGUGGUUUUUGAAAUUGGAGAGCGGACAGAUUUCGUCGUGAAUCGGAGGUCAAAUCGGACGAAACGAAAUGCUAGAUUCGAUGCACCCGACGUGCUGAACGCAAUGGUGCUGUCGGAUUGAAAAUCCGAAGGACAGAUUUUCGGGAAACGCAAAAUGUUCGCUGAGGGGUCGAAUUGGCAAAAUCGGAAACUUCGCAAAAGUUGCGAUAUUUUAUGUACCGUUUCGCGUGAAACCAGUCGUGGAGGGGUAUCCGCGCGAUUUACUCGCGCUGUGAGGGACUCGGAUAGAAUUGUUGAUUCUUGGAGGACAUUUUUGCAAUAUUACACUACAUGUAUAGGUUGAAGUUAGUUUUCCUUUAGCUUGGAAACCCUAACCCUAGCUGCCCCUCCCUCAGCCGACCCUAACUGGUCCCUGCCCUUGCCAUGCGCGCACCCCUGCUGCCGGCGAGCAACCCCGGCCACCGGAGAAGCUCCACCUCCCUUUCCUCCAUCAUCCCCAUCACCACUUUCUCCACCCUCCGUGGCCUCUCGACUUCGGGAAGCCACCCCAUGGAUUGAGCCUUUAUUAUCUGGCCGAGGCUUCCCCUCCGGUGCUGUCACCGGCCGUCCCCGCCGCCUGCGCACGCCGCCGGAGCCGUCCGAGCAAGCCGCGGCCAACUCGGGUCAACCCAGACCGAGCGGACUUGAGCUCAGGGCCCGCUGGGUAAUGCAGCCCUAGAUCGGCCGCGCCGCCUUCCCUCAACCCCCGGCGACCCUCCGCCGCCGUCGCCGCCGUCCCCGCGCGCCGCCGGCCACCGCCGGACCUCUCUGCGGCCAUCUGGAGCGCGUGCGGGCCAAGCUUGGACCCGCAAUGCCUCCGUGCGCCGCCGCCGCCCUAGGCCGUGCGAGCCGCCUUCGCCUCGACCUCCGGCGCCGUCGCCACCGUUCCCCGCCGCCCAUUUUGGCUGUGGUGCCGCCUGGACUCGCCGCAGCCGCCCAGACCCAGAGCGGGCUGAGCUUGGGAGAUCUCUGCCUCUGCGUACCUCCGCCGCUCCCUGCCGGCAGUGCCGCCCUCCAGGCACCUCCGGAGACCUCCGACGUGCACCCCCGGACAUCCCCGACCUGCCCCGGCCGCCGCCGUGGCCGCAGCACCCCCGGACCCGUGCCCUAGCUCGUGCGGGCAUGCCUUGUUCCGCCGCCGCCUCCGCCGCUUCCAGCCGCCAACCGAGGUGAGCACGGUACUCCUCACCUCCCCCGCACCCGUCCCUGGCCGCCGCGCAUGCCGCCGUGCUGCCGGAAGCCGGCCGGAGCAACCUUGCUCCGGCCAAGCCCGAAAUAGGGCUUAGUUUAGGAUGGGUUUGUGUUCUGAGCUUCUCGAGCCUCCCUGAUCAAUACGGAAGGGAGCACGAUGAUCGUGACUCAUUUUUGAUCAUCGUGCUCACCUUGGUUUUUGUCGGGAAGGCCCCGUUCUGAUGUUUUGGUGGUGUCGACCCUGUCGAGCCUGCUUGGCUGCUGUUUUUGGGUUUGCGCACGCUUAUCCGGCGAUCUGAGGCUGUCCUGAUGCCUCCGGAGGUGAGCACGGUGAUCGUGGGUCAGUGCUGAUCACAGUGCUCACCUCACUUUGGAUCAACAGUGUCCGGUUAGCCCUGUUUGGCGCAAUCUUCCCCGACUGCGCGCUGUUCGCUGAACCUUCGGGUUGCUCCCGCGCUUCCCACAGUGACCUGUUGAGCUCCAGACCAUGAGCACGGCCUCCGGUGCAUCGAGACCUAUCAGUAGGUGUCUCAGCUGAACUUAGAAGUCCUCGGUUUGCGUGUACGGGCUAUGUUAUCACCCAAUUUACAUGAAAUAUUGGGAUUUUAUGUAAAUUCAGGGGCUUUUGUGCAAUUGUGCACCUUGGGGCUACUGUGGACAGUGUGUGUGAGUGUGUUUGAUCUCUGGACUGAUUGUCCAUGAUCCGUUAGCUUUUGCAGAAAUCGAAGAGUCGAUUUGAUGCGUUUUCGGCGAAAUUCGCCGAAAGAACGCGGUUUCGAUUCGAAUUUCUUCCGACGUCGUUUGGUUGCUCUGUGAGUGGUCGCUAAGCCUUGUUGGCUGGUCACCAUCAUCACUUUGUGGGCUCGGUGAUGACGGGUGAGCGACGGUGGGUUCCGGUGUCGAAUUUGACACUUCCGGGAACCCGUAUUCGUACAACUAUCGGGCGAUAAUUGUGUCACGGUGUUUAUCUUAUGUUUGCUGCCAAAACAUCCAAAUUGGGGUGUUUUAUGGCAGCAGGUGACUUGUAAUAUGAGUCGGUGCGUUUCGAGACAAUUCAAUGGUCCCGACAGAGUCUCGGUGCGGUUUUCGGGACUUCCGAUUUGUUUGGUAAUCGGUUUUGGGAAACCGAUCUCCGUGGGAUUGUCUGUGGGUUGUGUAUUCAGUGGUUUAUUUAUGGGAUUAUGCUUUUAGGGUUUCUUAGUUGUGGGUUAGACACUAACCCAGUGGACCCUCCCUAGGUCCCGUUGACGUUCUUUUGCAGUUAGGAGUCAGGCGCGACAGUUGUACAGGUGGGUACUUCGAUCCGACGUCGGUACAGUGGUGCACGCUCGGUGACGUUU